AUCCCCGAUCCAUCCAGCAUCUUCUCGCGCAGUCUUCUUCGACCCGCUGCCACAGUCCCGGCGCCCCAGGCCCUGCGCAGAUGAAGACCCUCCCCCGGACGGCUUUGCGGGCCCUGCCUCAGCCGGCGCCCCCUUCUCUCCUGCAGGACCCGGACCCGCGCUGCAGGGGCUGAGUGCCCCCUGGGUCGGCGUCUGAGUCUUGCCUCCCCGUAGGCUCAGUACCUGGCACGUGUCCAAGGCUCAGCAGCUGUACCACAACCACCCAACAGGAGAGAAGGAAAGGAGAGGUGCACCCCGGGGAUGUGGUGAGGCCAUCCCGUCAUGGGGAAUCAGAAAAGGACUGCGUCUUAGCCAGCCAGCUGGGGGAAGGUGGGGGUACCUCUUGUGUUUCCUUUUCUUGGAAUUAUUCUCCCUGGUGACCGGUAUAUAUCCAUUUGAGGCCCCUUGGCAUGAGAUAGAGCCCAGGUCACCAGGGGAGACUUAAAUAGACACCAGACCUCACCUCGAAGGCGACCUAAGGUGCUCCUGCCCCUUUGCCCUCCCCGUCCAGACCAGGCACUGCCUGUCAGGUGCUGCACGCUCCCAAACCUGUCCUGGAUUUUCCAUCCUCUUCAAGAUUCACCUUCCCAAACCUAUACCAUGUCAUCCGAGACGCACAAAAGCUGAUCUGAAAAGUCUUCUCUGCCUCAGAUGCAGAUGAAUUGUCAUCCCGUGGAGGGUAGUCAGUUUCCUUCCUGCUCACAAGAAGAUGGUGUGGCUCAUGGGAUGGUAACGACAGCCCCCAUUCAUGAAGUGGCUAGCUGUUGUACCAGAUAUGUAGAUAAGUUGCCUGGGCUUCUCGGGACAUGUGACCAGGUGGCAUCUGGGUUGCUCACCCAGGGCUUCUUGAUUGUUGCAGAGGAGGCAGCACCGGGCAGAGGGGCCCUUGAGAGAUGUCACCAUCCUGUUAAGAAAGGGCUGGACCACAGCGCUGCAGAGGUGAGCUCUGUUCAUUGGAGGUCUGGGGCUUGGCAUCCCGCAAGUGCCCACAGUUCCCCUGGUGUGAUGUUCUCUGGGAAGUAGGUAGAGGAGUGACGAGGGUGGCUUCGUCCUGGCCUUCUCUGGGGCCUUCAAGAACACACCUGGUUUCUAUUUAUGCCCUUGAUUCUGAGAGCUCUUCCUCAAAUGUUGGCAGCAGAACGUGUGAAUUGAAGCAGGGAAGGGAGUUUGGCAUAUCCACCUGUACGUGGGUCUCCGUCACUCCUCUGCCGCCUCCUAGCUUUGGGACCUUCUCUUACCUCUGGUUUCACCCUCUGGAAAGCAGGACUCAAAUGAGGCUAUUUGUCUUCAGAUCACAUGGCAUCUGUUUUUUACAACCUGAGACCUCUUUCACUUUUCCUUCGGAGGCCUCUCCUGUCUGGGCCACGGGGAAGGCUUUGUGCAGGACUGGAAGCAGUUGCUGGGUCCUUGGGCUCCACUGGGUUCACUACUCCCAGGCCUUUUCCAUGGGCCUCCUUUUCCAGCAAGCCCCCGUCUUUCCCUGCCCCUGCACUUGGACAUGAUCACCGGCUGCCCAUGGCCCGUUGGUAGGCAGUGCGGGCGGAGGGAGCGUGGGCGGGUUGUCCCGCGCUUGGAGAGUCUGCUUCCUUACCCUGCAGUUCCAGGAGCUUUCCCACCCUCCUGCUGCUCCCCUCAUACUCCUGGAGCCUCCAGGGCUUCAGGGGCUGUCCUGUGUGCGUUAGUGUCAUUGUUGGGGCUUUUAUUUCCUGCCCUGCUGUUGGGAACCGGACUACAUGUGCUGCGUGAGUUCCCCUGAAUGUUCAGUUGCUGCCACUCGGCCAUGGCAUGUUCCCAUGGGCCUGGCCUUGACACCCUUUUCUGCCCACCACUGGUGAAUGGCACGCUGAUUAGCGCUGGCCACCCUGCCGCAGGCCAUCCGCCGUCUCCCUCUUUAGAGUUAACUACUGUUCUUUUUAUGAGGAAACGGCGUGUCUAUUCAGGAAAUGAUCACUGCCAGCAUCUGCAGAGUGCUUACUGUCUGGCGGCUUCUGUGCUGAGCCCUUUUCUGCUGCCUGCCAUGCGCUGUAUGAGCAGGGGCAAGGCAGGUGCUCAUUCUCAGCUUCUUGUCCGAUGCAGAUGAGUCCACGGUGUGCAGAGGCCGUCGUGGAAGUUGUGGUGUCAGGAGCGCUGUAGACCGCAGUGUCCUUGAGGUGAGAGCUCUGGUCCAUCCUCUGGAGUGUUGGGGCCUCACAGUAGUCACGUGAGUUCUCAGGGCCCUGGGUGCAGAUGGAGGGGAGCUGAGAGGUGAGAUGAAGGCAGCACCCACGAGUCCCAGAUCUGCUCACCACCUCAGCCCCAAGCAACCUUGAUCACCCCUGCACGUGUCUUCAGUGGCCGCCAGGGGUGGGCCUCGUGUCCCACUUGGGUACUGGGAGCUCCGGUUCAGGAGUGUCUGCCCUCCGUCCCUCGAGCGUGGGCAGAGCAUAUUGGGAUGGAAAGUGGGUGGACCAGAGAUGCUUUCCCUCUGAGUUUGAUGCCCCUUUUGCCGCCAUCUCAGUUUGCGACCUUGUCUUCUUCAUUUGAAAAUCCAAGCUAUGACAGAGAUGAUUUUGUGGUACUUAGGACCGCAAAAUGCCUAUAAUUUCCAGCCAUGAUAUUUCCUCACUGUUUUUGCCCAAAGUGACUCCUCUUUGAUUCCCUUUGGCAGGGAGGUCCUGUUGGACUUUCACAGGAAAGAAUGGCCACCCCUGGGCUUCUGUGCUUGGCCGAGUCUUUUUGCUAGACUCAGUGUAUCCUCUAGGCCACUGGCACCUGCUCAUCUUCGUAGAUCUCUCUCUGCCUUGCGUGCACCUGCAUUCAAAAGUGACCACGGGCUGGCCGUGCUCUGGUCGUUGAUAAUGCAGGGAGAGGAAUUGUGGAAAGCAGUUUCCCGAAUUUGGAGGGUCCACACCUGUCCCUUUCAAAUGCUGGCGCUUUCACACACUCCUGCUUCUCUCCAGCCCAUGCUUUCUGCACUCAGGCACUGGGAGCUGCGUGUGACAGGCAGUGACAGGAGACUUCCAAGCCUAAGCUUCCUGUUAUCAGAGCCAGGCUGUGUCGUGUCGUGUUGAGAUACUUUAGGGGGUGUAAGGAGCCAGGAUGAAUUACGCAUAAUGAAUAAGUAUGGUGUUGGGGGGGUACAUAGUGAUUGGCAUAAGACUUUCUAGGGGAAGCAGCUCUUUGGAGGUGGUGGACUGGGCAGGCCUUUGAAGGGGCGGGUGUCAUAGGCAACAGGAAGGGCUUCGAGGGGAGGGGAGGCACACAAGGGUGACUUGAGGCAGGGGUGAGCACGAGCACCGGGGAGUCAGGUGCACAGAUAAGUGAUGGCUCUGGGAAGCGGGGGACGGCUGCUGGGGUGGUGGGCUGAACAGUAGGAGAGAACAAGCUCUCCAGCCAUCUCUCUGCCAAUUCCCUUUACUCUGUCACCCUGAGAAGACCCAUUUUUCCAAGACAGUGUUCAUUCUGACUCUUCUCUGGGAGCAUUGAGAUUCCUUUUUGAGCCAAGUUUGUUGUGGAAAAAAACACUGCAGCUCAUCUCUGACUAAUUGGGGACGCUUUCAUGGAUGUCACCUUAAAGAAAGAUGAGGUAAUAUUGGAAUUCCCUUUGUGACUCAGCGGAAAUGAACCCGACUCGUAUCCAUGAGGAUGCGGGUUUGAUCCCUGGCCUGGCUCAGUGGGUUAAGGAUCUGGCAUUUCCAUGAGCUGUGGUGUAGGUCGCAGAUGCAGCUUGGAUCCUGCGUUGCUGUAGCCUAGGAUGGCAGCUACAGCUCUGAUUCAAUCCCUACCCUGAGAACUUCCAUAUCCUGUGGGUGCGGCCCUAAAAAGAGAAAAGAAAAAAAAACAGAUGAGGUAAUAUUGGGGAGCAAACUCUUGUCAUGCCCUCCUGGUCUGUGGCCUCCUCAUUGCUCUAGGGGUGCUGCUUUGGAAGAAGCCUCGGGGGUCAGAACCACUCGCCCUCUCAAGGUGAGGACCUGGGUCCCAGCUCCCCCGGAGGGUCCUCCUCAUGGUGAGUUACUGCCAAAGGGCUGCGUCGGCCUGUGUUUCUGAGAUGGCAGUGCCAAGCUACCAGCCUCAUCUGACUUUCUCCUGUAGGUAUUUAGGGGCUGACCGCGGACACUGGCGUAGCAGCGUGAAGCAGGAUGUUGUCGCAUGACCAUCGCCAAACCUUUCUCUUCUGUUGCCUCAGCACAGCGUGGAAGGACUCUGCCCUCUGUGUGAACAGGGCAGAGGGGAAGUUCUGGGGCUCCAGGGACUUGGGGUUCAGAGCUGGAGACCUUCUACUGGCUCCCAGCAGGUGCCUCAGAACACUGCUGACCAGGAAGACUGUCUCUUCCCAUCUGGACCAGGUCAUCCCGUGGCUUCUGUGUCUCCCAUUUGCUCCUAGUAUAACUUUUUAGAACCAGGAGUUCCUGUUGGAGUCUUGUGUGCCAUGCAUCUUAUCUUCUCACCCACUUAAAUAAAUCUCGAAACUGCCCUGCUGCAUGUUUUUUCGUUUUUCUUUUUCUAAUCCCUGUCUCCAUGUGCCAGCAAGGCUGGGUAUGGAGCCAUGAGGUCACAGGGCAGGUCUUCCAGUUUUUAUUCCUUGAGACCUUCCUCUUAGCACAUCCCUGAGGCUUGACCUAGGGAUGUGGGGUGGGCUGUAGAAUUGACAUGGGGCCAGAUGAUCCCAAGUGCUGUGGGUAGCCCAGGCUUAGGAGAGAAGGGAACUGCUGGAAUUGUUGGUAGAGGAAUGUGUGCACCAGGGCUUCAGAAAUGGUAGAGGUGGAGGUAAAGACAGCCAGGGGCCACAGUCCUCGAGGAAGGCGGAGAGCCCCGAGCUCUGCGGGUGAAGGGACACCGGGUGACUGGGGAGAUGGUUUUGAUCGGGACUGGGAGUGGGAUGUACGAGGCACAGUUGCCCUUGGGAGAACCGGGGGUGUAAGGGCGGGUAAGGGCUAGGGUUGGGGUGGCUCUAGUGUUAACAGUGCGGGUACGUGGUGUUCUGCUCGUUUUGCAGGUGUCCACACAGAGGAACUCUCCCAAAGGCCGUGGUGGAAAGGGAAGAGUUCACUGUCUGUUCUUUCCAUUGACCUUGGAUCACCUUGACUGGGGCAGAGGUAGAAACCAGGUGGUCAGGCUCACAUUCAUGUGGUCGGUGCCUGGAUGGCUUCUCUCAGUGGGAGGCAUCCUUGGGGCCUGGAGGGUCUACUCUGCCAGCUGGUUCCAGCAGAGGUCCUUAUUACUGCCUUGCUCCAUCCUCCGUUCCUACCCCAGGGCCAUUUGAUGUCUCCUAUGUGCUCUAUUGAUGACCCCCCCAUCUACCAGUUUCAUCCCACCAUGGCCCUAGGCCCAUGUCCCCCAACUUGGCCAGAGCCCCUCCUUUUCAGUGAGAUGUCCCUGCUGGUUAUCACCUUGGCAUUUGGAGACGUCUUUGAAACCAACCAUCCCCUCUCAUUCCAAGCAGCUUCCCAUCAGCUUCGGUAGCAGUGUCCACGCCCCAUUCCCCUCCGCUUUAUUCUGUUUAUUCUCUCUUGCUUUUCCUGACCCCUACCUCAGUCCUAUAGCCUGGGGGUCCCUGAUGCCCUUUUUACUGUGUUCAGUAAGAGGGGGCAGUGAUGGAGCAGCGGGAGGAAAGGAAGAGGCGAGAGGGCCAUGGUUGGUGAAGUGGAGGGGAGCAAGUCACAUGGUGGUAGUGGCAUCGUCUCUGACCGUGGCUUGGCCCAUGGGUACCAGAAUUUCCUUUGUAACUAGCUAGACUGGUCAGCUUGUGAGGGUUUCCAUCAUUCCUUGCUGUGUUUCCACAGCAUCCUGGUAUCAUGACUGGACAAGGGGGUUAGUGAAGAAAUGCAUUAAAGCACUGGUUUUGCAGCCCCGGGCACCCAAUAAGGUCUCAAUAACCUGAUCAUUGACUUGCUCACUUUCAAAUUAUAAAUGAUGCUCACCCCUGCCCCAGCCUCUGAGGUCUGCCUUCUGCUACCCUCACCCACCGGACCCUCAGCCCCAGCAUAGGCUUCCCACGCUCAGGGGAGACACGCGGGGCCCGCGGUCUGCCCGUGUACCCUCAUCUCAGGCCCCGAAAGUGCCACAGGCCCCAGUCACACUUCCACGUGAGGUUCCUGAACACACUCCCCUUUUCCUGGCUCGUGUGCCAGAAAUGUCCUCCCAUUUCAGAUGCUUGCCUGGCUCAGCUUGGGUCACUUCCUGCAGGAAGCCUUCACUGGCUAGACCUCCACCCAGACUGGAUUCUCUGCCCCUCCUUUGAUUCACAUCAAGUGUCACUUUGGGGCAGGCACAAUUCUAGGAAAUGGUAAAUGAAAGAAAACAAAAGAGCAACCCCCUGCCUUUACAGGGUUUCCAUAUUAGAGGAAAGAGACGUACAGAGAAGGCCUCACCUGGUAGUGUGAUUCGAGUAGAGUAAGGGGCUCACCUUUGGGCGCUGGUGGCAGCCUGUGCAGCCUCCAUCACAGCAUGGACCAGGGACCGGAACAUGCUUUCCCCCAGGAUAGCAGGCCCGGGGAACUGGGAGGGUGAGAGACCUUUGAGGCCUCUGCAGGGCAUCAUCUGAUGGCCAACAUCUGCCAUGUGAUGAGGGUGGCAGCCAAAUCAAGUUAGGAUCAGCUGGUCAACCACAGCUCAGUGGACUUGUGCCAUCACCCAAGGGCAGGCCUAACCCGUGACCUUGGUCUAGGACCAAGAGCAGUGCUAACCAAGCCAGGCAGGUUACCUCUUGAGGGGUUCUGAGUAUGGCAAGAGCUUAAGUAAUUGGUUAUUGGAACCAACACCGGAAGAGAUGGAGGAAUUAAUUCCCUUUAACAGUAGAGUGCAAAGGUGCAGAGCCUCGAGCUCCUAUUGUGAGAGAAGCAUUUCUUUUUCUUUUUUUUUUUUUGCUUUUUCUAGGGCCACUCCCGCAGCAUAUGGAGGUUCCCAGGCUAGGGGUUUAAUUGGAGCUGUAGCCGCUGGCCUACGCCAGAGCCUCAGCAAGGCGGGAUCUGAGCCACAUCUUCGACCUGCACCACAGCUCAGGGCAACGCUGGAUCCUCCCACUGAGCGGGGCUAGGGAUCGGACCUAGUCGGAUUCUUUUUUUUUUUUUUUUUUUUUUUUUUUGUCUUUUUGCUAUUUCUUGGGCGGCUCCUGCGGCAUAUGGAGGUUCCCAGGCUAGGGUUCUAAUCGGAGCUAUAGCUGCCAGCCUACACCAGAGCCAGAGCCACGAGGGAUCCGAGCUGCAUCUGCAACCUACACCACAGCUCACGGCAACGCCGGAUCUUUAACCCACUGAGCAAGGCCAGGGACCGAACCCGCAACCUCAUGGUUCCUAGUCGGAUUCGUUAACCACUGCGCCACGACAGGAACUCUCUAGUCGGAUUCUUUAACCACCACGCUACAAUGGGAACUCCCAAGAGAAUCAUUUCUUGAACGUUCAUAAGGAGAGGAUGAGAUUCCAGUUUCCAAACCAUGUUCGUGCUCCCCAAGGCCUGGCUGUAAGCAGCGCUCAGACUUGCUGUGAGGCCUGGGGUUCAUUUUGCUCUGAAUUUUUAUAAGACGUGGCCGAGUGACCAAAUUCUAAUCUUCCUUUUUAGGGCCACACCCACACCAUCUGGAGGUUCCCAGGCUAGGGAUCAAACUGGAACUUCAGUUGCUGGCCUGCACCACAGCUCAUGGCAACACCGGAUCUUUAACCCACUGAGCAAGGCCAGGGGUCAAACCCACCACCUCAUGGUUCCUAAUCGGAUUCGCUUCCUCUGAGCCACGACAGGAACUCCUAGUCUUCCUUUUCUUAAGAGCCCUUAACAUUGACUAUCACUGUGACCUUACUGGAGGGAGAUAAAUGAGUCUCUGUAAGAGACCGAAGGUGUUACUUACCAGCACAGUGGCUGACACAGGCAAAGAGCUCAAUCUGUGUUUACGGAUGAGGGAUGAAGCCUGUGGUGGCCUUGACCAUGGGCACCAGGAAUAGCUCUCCAAGGCCACUCUGCCCUGUGACUACAACUGCCAUGUCACCAGGAUACUUAUUUCCACCUGUAUCAAGAAGCAACUGAUCUGGAGUUCCCGCUGUGGUGCAGCAGGUUAAGGAUCCAGGGUUGUCUGCAGCAGCUCAGGUCACUGCUGAGGCGUGGCUCAAUCCACAGCCUGGCUCAGUGGGUUAAGGCUCUGGCAUUGCCAUAGCUGUGGCAUAGGUUGCAGCCGCAGCUCUGAUUCAGUCCCUGACCCGGGAACUUCCAUAUGCCAUGGGUGCAGCUGCCCAGAAAAAGAGAAAAAAAAAAAAAA
rnacentral:lncRNA from 1 species